GCAGUCGAGCGCACUCUUCGGAGUGAGCGGCGGACGGGUUAGUAACGCGUGGGAACAUACCCUUCUCUACGGAAUAGCCUCGGGAAACUGAGAGUAAUACCGUAUACGCCCUUCGGGGGAAAGAUUUAUCGGAGAAGGAUUGGCCCGCGUUAGAUUAGAUAGUUGGUGGGGUAAUGGCCUACCAAGUCUACGAUCUAUAGCUGGUUUUAGAGGACGAUCAGCAACACUGGGACUGAGACACGGCCCAGACUCCUACGGGAGGCAGCAGUGGGGAAUCUUAGACAAUGGGCGCAAGCCUGAUCUAGCCAUGCCGCGUGAGUGAAGAAGGCCCUAGGGUCGUAAAGCUCUUUCGCCAGGGAUGAUAAUGACAGUACCUGGUAAAGAAACCCCGGCUAACUCCGUGCCAGCAGCCGCGGUAAUACGGAGGGGGUUAGCGUUGUUCGGAAUUACUGGGCGUAAAGCGUACGUAGGCGGAUCAGAAAGUUGGGGGUGAAAUCCCAGGGCUCAACCCUGGAACUGCCUCCAAAACUCCUGGUCUUGAGUUCGAGAGAGGUGAGUGGAAUUCCAAGUGUAGAGGUGAAAUUCGUAGAUAUUUGGAGGAACACCAGUGGCGAAGGCGGCUCACUGGCUCGAUACUGACGCUGAGGUACGAAAGUGUGGGGAGCAAACAGGAUUAGAUACCCUGGUAGUCCACACCGU
rnacentral:rRNA from 1 species